rnacentral:lncRNA from 1 species
UACAAUACAUGAAGGUCGUGUAAUACACAACCUUGAAUCCUACAUAACCUUACACGACCAAAUCGUGUGUUACAUGACAAAAUUAUAAUCGGCACAAUCCAUCAAUUUUUCACAAUUUGCAUGCAGCAAAACAACUAGAAAUUUAUUUUUGAACAUGUAAUGAGAGACCCGCAACUAAUUAAUCUAUUUUUUCUAUAUAAACCCUAACGUUUUGUUUUUUUUUUUCCCUGAAUAUCAACAAGAAAACUAUUUAUAGAGAAUUA